GGAUGCCAGCAGUUUAGCUGUGACAUCCAUCACCCGCCUUGAUCACCAGGGUUGAUCUGGCUGAUCUAGCUGGCUAGGCAGGUAUCCCCUUCCUCCCCACUGCUCCAUGUGGGUCCCUCCUGAAGUUGUGUGCUUGGUGGCAGAGGAUGACCUUCCAAAAUAGAAGAGGACAUUUCCUACAUCAAGGGUAUACACAUAGCUAUAUUCCCCUGCUAGAAUGUCCAGACUAGAUCCCAAGGUCUCUCCGUAGGAGAACAGAAGGCAUUCAAACUUCCAAGACUCCAGGCACAACCAAAUGAGGCACUUCGUGUGGCAGUCUGCCUUCCUAG
rnacentral:snRNA from 1 species